rnacentral:rRNA from 1 species
UCUUCGGGAUAGGUAGUAGUUAAGGUGAUGGCUUAACUAGCCAAAAACUCUCGUAGUCGAAGCUGAAAGGUUGAUCGACCACAUUGGGUCUGAAAAAACCCCAAUGCAAGUUAGUACAGCAGUGAGGAAUCUUGGUCAAUGGCCUAACGGCUGAACUGGCAACUUGGAGAAGUGGCAAGUCUUAUUUUGAUUAUAUUACUAUAUAUAAUCUAUAAGAUUGUAUUAAAAUUGAAUAAAGCUUUGUUUAUAUAUUGAUAAUGACAGUAUAUAUAUCGUGUCUUGACUAAUUACGUGCCAGCAGUCGCGGUAAUACGUAAGAGACUAGUGUUAUUCAUCUUGAUUAGGUUUAAAGGGUACCUAGACGGUCAAUAUAUCUUCUAAAAUGUUAGUACUUGACUAGAGUUUGAUAUAAGAGGGCAGUACUUGAGGAGGAGAGAUGAAAUUCUAUUAUACCAAAGGGACUCGGUAAAGGCGAAGGCAGCCCUCUAUGUAAAAACUGACGUUGAAGGACGAAGGCACAGAGCACAAACAGGAUUAGAUACCCAAGUAGUCUUUGCAGUAAAUGAUGAAUGCCAUAGGUUAGAUUAA